UACAACUCCCAGCAUGCCCGGACAGCCAUCGGCGCAUGAACGUCCCUGUGCGUCGUCAAAGCAACGUCACUAGUCCGGGGUCAGCUCCGGAGCGAGCGGAGAAAAGGGCCUCCUGGUGAAAAUGUACAGCCCGGAACGACUAACCCUCCCCACUGGACGGUCCCUGCAGCAUAGAUGGUCCGGACCAGCUCACCCUUCCUUCCCACCGAAGGGAGGGAGAAGUCAUUAUGAUGGUUUUGGCCGAAUGGGGAAAAAAAAGAAAAAGUGAGCUCCUCCGAAUAGACAUCACCUGUGACUGACUCAAAGAAGAUGCCCCCAAUAAAAUGAUAUACCCACAAUAGAAAUAACUUAAAAUUAAUUUCAAGUACACAAUACACACUACAGAAAAUCUCGGUGCGUCAUGGAUCUGCCAGCGAGAAAAUAUAAAACUGAGGAAGCUGCCCUAAUUUUUAAUUUUCGACCACCGUCUUCCAGCGCGACCUGUUUCCAAGUCCUGUCCAAACUUUUCACACGUUUGACCUAGAGUGAAAUGGAUGAAUCUGUUCUGGCUACACACUGUCGAGGCUUAAAAAGAAAAUACGGAGGGGAGAAGGAAAUAAGCAGAUGGCUAAAGAUGAAGGUCAAAUCAGAUUGAGAAGUUUGUCAAAAUGUGAUGACAUCGGUAAUCUGUAAACUGUUAUUGCACCUAGCUGGAGGUGCUGAAAAACAUUUUGAAAUUACAGAAAAAAACACUGAAGUCUUCAAGCACGCCGGCGAGGAAUGAUCGCCUGGAGUGGUUCUACUCUAUGGAUGAAUGCCAGAUGCGGGGAGCGACAUAUCUGGAAUUAAUGAUAUUAAACAUGCUUUUCUUUUAUGCUCAAUAAUAACUCUAUUAUGAUUGAUACAGACCGCAGACACUUUAUCUAGUACAAAUGGAAUCGUCUGUCAUUGACUAUAUUAAAUCAUCAAUUUCUGCAUGAUGAGGAUCGUUUAAGGUAACUAAUCAUCUGUCUCGUUCUGCCGUCUUUAAGGGUGAUCAGAUAACAUUUUGAAUACCGCCUGAGCAACCGUGACAAUCUAACCCUUCCUUGUAAGGAUUGAGAGGGGCCCAUUAUGCCGUCAAACCCUGUGAAAAUAUCACGGCUUUUUCUCUACAUAAUAU